rnacentral:rRNA from 1 species
CUGACCUCAAAUCAGGUAGGACUACCCGCGGAACUUAA